rnacentral:rRNA from 1 species
AGUGAACGCUGGCGGCAGGCCUAACACAUGCAAGUCGAACGGCAGCACAGUAAGAGUUUGCUCUUACGGGGGGCGAGGGGGGGAAGGGUGAGGAAUAAAUCGGAAUCUACUUUUUCGGGGGGGAUAACGUAGGGAAACUUACUCUAAUACCGCAUAUGAUGCACGGGUGAAAGCAGUGGAUAGUUGCAGCUUGCGGGACUGAAAGAGCCGAUGCCGGAUUAGCUAGUUGGCGGGGUAAAGGCCCACCAAGGCGACGAUCCGUAGCUGGUCUGAGAGGAUGAUCAGCCACACUGGAACUGAGACACGGUCCAGACUCCUACGGGAGGCAGCAGUGGGGAAUAUUGGACAAUGGGCGCAAGCCUGAUCCAGCCAUACCGCGUGGGUGAAGAAGGCCUUCGGGUUGUAAAGCCCUUUUGUUGGGAAAGAAAAGCAGCAGGUUAAUACCCCGCUGUUCUGACGGUACCCAAAGAAUAAGCACCGGCUAACUUCGUG